GGAGUCAGGUCCCCUCCCUCCAUCCUGCCCCGCCACAGCUCAUCCAAAUUCUUGUGGCAUCUCUGAGUUCUUCUUUCUCAUCACAAAAUCCCAACCACCCCGGACGCGUCUCCUUGCACUUCCCCUACCGCAGGCACACAUUCAGUGCCCGGCACCUGGAGCGAACCUGUGCCCCCGCGUGGGCCCCGGUGACCAAUUGUGCACGGACUGGCCAGGCUAUCCCUGCUGCAAAUGGACGACGAUACCCCUGCACCUCAGCUGGGGUGAAGCGUUCGGGAGCCCUGACCCUUUUCUCCCCCGAGGUCCUCUCCAUCCUGAUGUAAACCGGUGGCUGUGACCAGGCACCCACAGGAAAGGGGGCGCCAAGCCCUCCUCCCCACGGAUCUGAGCCAUUGGAUCAGAUACUUGUAGAUGUUGGAGGAAUGCACCUGAGAUGUUGGGGAGAAGGGAGGAGAGGGAGCCCCCAUUCUUCAUAAGUCCUUAAAACGCUCCCCUUCAUAGAUGGGAAAAUGGAGCCCUAAAAGAAGAUCAGUCCAAAGAAAGUGCCAAAACCAGGUACUCCGAGCCGAGGAGCGUGGAAGGAAUCCACCAUGACACCCCUCGGCCUAGCCCAGAAGGGGUGACCAUCCUAGAGGAGGUGGGGAAAUGGAGCCAGGUCUUUGGCCCUCCCAGGUCUUGGGCUGCCAGGGGCCCAGGCCUCCCUCCCUCCCUCCCUCUUGAGGCCCUGGGAGACCCACUUUGGGUCUCUGAGCAGGAGCUGGGCAGAGAAUCCAGGGUUUUGGCCGCCACAGGGGAAACCUGGGCUCAGAACUGCCGCGUGAGUCAUGCCUACCCGGGGAGCAGCUGACGCUCCGUCUGCGCCUUACAAAACCACAACAGGCUGCCGAGUGACAGCCGGCUGCCCGAGUGUCGAGGAAUGCUGUUGCCAGACAGGUUUCCGAGGCCCCUGCGAGCGGGCUCCAAAGAGCAGGCCUGGGCUGCUGCCACGCAGGCGGCAGGCACAGGCCAACUCACCCCUCCUCACCGCAAGGACCCCUCAACCUCAACAUAGCCCCCUGCCAGGAGUCCCUGAAGCCAGCCACCACUCCUAGGGCAGCCACCGCUUCCAAGCCAGCACUAAGUGAAGACUGUGACUUGGGGCAGCCACCCCCCCAAGCAAGAGUGGGGGCCAGGAAGGUUGAAGGGCUCCCCACUCCUGACAAGUCUGCCAUCACCACAGACCUCCCUGCACCAUAAAUAAGUUCCUACUAAAAAUGGUAACAGCCGUGACACUGACAAGCCCUCACACAGCGCUCACUGUGGCCAUGCCCAGAAUUGCAGCACUGAGUACUUUUGCUGCGUGUGUAUUAGUUUCACUGUGGCUGCUGUAAUAAAAUGACCACAAACUGGAUGUAAGCUUAAAACAACAGAAAUGUCAGCGGGUGCUAUGAUACACACUUGCAAUCCCAGCUACUCAGGAGGCUGAGGCAGGAAGAUUGCCUAGAUCCAGGAUAUAUUUGUGUUGGUUUUUAUUUUUGUUUUUGUGCUGGGAUUGAACUCGGUGGCACUCUACCGCUGAACUACAUCUCCAAUCCUCCCCCUCCCCCCAACACUUUUAAAUUUUAUUUUGAGACAGGGUCUUGCUAAGUUGCCAAGGCUGGCCUUGAACUUGUGAUCCUCUUGCUUCAGCCUUCUGAGUCAUUGGGAUUACAGGUGGGCUCCAUGGUGCCCAUCUGAUUAACAGGGCUUGUCCCCCCCAGGUCCAGCACACUCCACAAGGAACGGAAACACCUUCUGAGGCCUUCUGAGCUGGCAGAGGCUAUCUGCCUGGUGUGAUCUAUGACACUGUUGUGUUUCCUGAUAACACCCAGCUCGGCUUCUCCUGCCAAGCUCAUAAAAGGUACGUAAAGCUGCGGCUUGGUUGACCUCACCAGGUACCAGCGCCAUCCUGACUGUCUUUCCCAGCUGCAGGGCCAGCUGUGUGAGUGGAUACGGGGUGGAGAAAAUCCAGCUCAAGAAUCCACAAGUUCUUACCGCGGAGCUGAGCAGGGGCUCGGGGAAGACAGCACGGGCCGGUGGGCGCUGUUCUCAGGGCUCCCAAUGCAGCAGGUGCCCAGUCCUCAGCCCUGGGUUGGCCGGGCCCCAGGCAGAACCCAGCAUUUUCUCACUUAAUUCUCACAAGGGCCCCACUAACAAGGUGACAUCCAUUUUUCCAGAUAAGGAAGCUCAUUCUGCUGGCUGGAAGCCAAACCAGAACUUGGUCCCAGCUCUGCCUGGGCCUUGGCCUAUAACAAGGGCUCGUGGAGGGCGGGAGGCCCCUGGAUGGGGAGCACCUUAGAGGAUGGAAGACUCGAAUGGGGCCGAGGGAGGACAGGGCUGAGGAUCAGGAGACUAGGGCACAUGAUGUGGCCCAGGCAGGAAGGUGGGACCACCUGUCUGGACGCUGCCACUGGCAGCCACAGUCUUAAUAUGCAAAGAGACUGCGUUGCCUUCCAAUUUGAAAAGCCUGCAUGGCUUUCCAUGAAGUUGAUGACAGAAUCCAAAAUCCUUCUAUGAUCAACAAGGCCCUGCAAGGACAGCCAGCAGUCUCCCCCUCAGCUCAGCUCCAGCCACACCGGCCCCUUCCUGCUCCCCAGACAUGCCACUGGGCCUUUGCACUUGCUGUUCCCUGUGCCUGCAGUGCCCUUCCCUCAGCUCCACAGCAUCGCAGCUCAGGGGUCCCCUCCUCAGAGUAGCCUUAGGGUGGGUGGCCCCCAUUACUCUCCAUCUUACCUCCCCACUUUGUUAUCUUCCUCCUACUCACUUCCACCUGCAAUAAUCUGUGUAUGGACCACCUGUUCCUUAAUUGUCCUUGUCCCAUGAAGGUGAGGACUUGCUCUUGUUCCUGGUGACCUCAGCACCCCUCACUGUGACGCACACAUAGCAGGUCCUCAGCAGAUAGUCACUGAAUGAAUAAAUGGACGAAUUCAAUAGAGAAUGCAGAGUCACAGACAGAUCGCAGACAAACAGACACUGGGACCCUGGGCUGGCGGGAGGAGGUGGAGAGGGGAGUGGCCUGGGAGAGCAGGGGGCAGCUGGGCCAAGCCUGGAGGACUUCCUGGAGGAGAGUGGCCCAACCCUGUGAGGGGAUGCCUGGCUCUGGCUGCAGCACUGACCGGGGCAGAGCCCCUUAGUCCACAUCGUCCUGCCCAGCCCAUAAUUGCAACUUGGGUUAAGAGGCAGAGGUUUCAAAGUGAAUCUUCACCCUGUGAUUCUCUGUGCCCAUUUGCUGGACUUCUCCAUGGUUCUGAGGCUAACUGCCCCUUGCCUCUUGUAGGCCUGGGGAAAGCAAAAGGCCAGCCCUGUGUCUCCAGGUGCCUGUGGGGGGCAGGGGUGUCCUGAAGGGUAGGGGAGGGCUAAGGGCCCCGAGGACAAUUGGUAGGCCUGAGAGUUCCAGAAGUAGACAGGAACUAAAUCACCAAGAAAUUCUCUAAAUCACCAAGAAGUUCUUCAGGGCACCAGAGCCCAGGGGUUCAGAAAAUGUGCUCUGGGGUUGACAUCAGGGCCACUUCUCAGUGGCCAAGCAACCUCAGGCUAGCCCCUUGACCUCUCUGGACUUGCACAGAAAGAAGAUAAGCCCACACUUGUCCUGCAAAGGAUUGCUGGAGGAUGAAUGAGCCAAGGCACACAGGAGGCGCUCAAUACCUGCAGCACUUCUUAGGGGCCGGUUAUGUGCCCGAGUACUGUGGGAGGCACCUUCAUUCUGAGAAAUAGUGGCCUGGCCUCUUCAGAAGUGUCAAUGUCAUGAAACACACAGAAGCCCUCAGGGACUGCUCCAGAUGGAAGGAGGCUGAAGAGAGACAAGUGCACACAAAACCUGAGUGUGAGCUUCUGUUUGCUUCAGAGGACACUCUUGGGACGACUGGCAAAUCCCCGUGUGGACUGACGGUGCGAUGGUCAUGGGGUUUUGACAUUCAUUUCCUGAUUCUGAUGGUUGCACACUGGUUAUCAGAGAGAACGUCUUGCUUUUAGGGACACACACUGACAGAUCUGAGGGGAGCGAGGCAGGUCUGUGUCCUCUUGAAUAGUUCAGGGGAAGAAAAAAUGUUAACAUGAAAGUAGUCACCGGUUAACGCUCGGGAAAAAGUUAAAAGAAAUGGUGGAGGAGGGUAUUUGGGAAUUCUUUGUAUUAUUUUUGCAACUUUUCUGUAAUUAUAAAAGUCGAGAGAGAGAGAGAGAGAGAGAGAGAGAAUCUGAAAAAUAGAGGAAAUGCAUGACCCCUCUCUUGAAAGGUCACAGAGACCUGGCAGGAGGGCAUAUCUUUCUGGUGGCGGGCCUCCAGCAAAGGUGACCAUUAACCUCUGACGUGAUGCUACAAGUGGAAAAUCCCACACCUGACCUCAUGUGACGAGUCACAGAGUGUAGAUGCGCUAAAAAUGUCAAAAUUGCUCAGGAGUCUGAGACUGCAGGAUUGCAAGUUCAAGGUCAGUCUGGGCAAUUUAAAGAGACCCUGUCUCAAAAUAAAAAAUACAAAGGGCUGGGGAUGUAGCUCAGUGGCGGAGCACCCCUGAGUUCAAUCCCUAACAUUGCAAAAUAAAAAAAAAAUAAGGAAAUAAAUAAAUGUCAUUCAUACAUACACACACAUAUGUAUGCCUACAUGUAUACACACACACACACACACACACACACACAAUUACCUUUAAGCCAUGUGUAUAAGGUAUAUCUGAAGCAAAAGAAUUUCCUGUUUGGUUACCCUCUCUAAAAGAUCUCAUUAUAUAUAUGCAAAUAUUCUAGAAUCUCCCCAAACUCUGAAAUGUGAAACACUGAUCCCACAACACUCUGGUUGAAGGGAUCCUCAACCUGCAGAUGAAUGCAGCAGGUGCCUAAUGAACCUCCAGUGCCCCACGUGAGUGAGUCUCUCUGCUGUGGGGGCGGGGAUGGUGUCACCAGGGCUAUACCCUCAGUCAGGGCCAUGGCAAGUACGUAGGCCAAGGAUAGACUGGACACCAAGAGCUGGGCCAGCAACUUCCUGACAAAAUAAGGUGUUCCCUGCAAACUAACAAGGUCCCGGGUGGCCAGGAGGCCCUUGGCUGAGGUGACCCGAGGCCCCGUGGGUGGAAUGAGGCAGGCAGAAGGGGAGGCCAGCGCUGUCCAGGCCCUCGGGCAAAUAGCUAACCUGCAUCUGCAGCCCACUGGGCCCUGGCGGCAGCGGGACCCCACCCCAAGGAUGAAUGAACAGUGACGGUGGCCAAGGAAUGUGGCCUACAGCGCAGAGCAACGCAGCCCAGCCCGGCCUAGCCCAGUCUGCCUGGCAGGUUGUGGCCCAGCCCCUGCGGGCCACCUCAGGCUGCUGGGCCUCACGGAUGACCUCCUGGGGCCUCCCCUCCUGUGACCUGUCCAGGGGCGAGCGUCACACCUGAGUGGGUGGAGAGGUGCUGUCUUCAGUCCCAUGACUCACCAUCCGCUUCUCUCCCCUCCAGACGCAGGGUGUCAGGGCUACAGCAAGGCUUGUCCCCAGCCUGGAAGGACUCCCAGGAGGGAAAGUGGGGCUUGCACUCGAGCUUUGGGCUCCAUUCAUGAAAGCCGAGAAGCGUGUGAUUACCAGAGGAUACGAGCUUGCCUGCGACAAGCUGCUAAACCCCAGGAGCAGGACGCCACUCCACUUAACACCCGCGGCUGCCGCGGGGCCAGCAGUGACUCAGGCCCUGACCUCGGCCGCCUGCUUAAUUUAGAGCAGUGGCAGCUGCCCCCCUCCCAAAAUUAGCUGCCCUGUUCAGCCUCGGUCCUGCCACUCACGGGCCUCUGAGCGCCGGCACUUUGGAAAUCCAGUGGGCACAGGGCUCUGGGAGGUGUUCUCCACCCAAGUUCAAGUUCAAGUAGUACCAGCUUUGGUGGGAAGUCACUCUCCUCCUCCCACUCACCUCUGGCCUCCAUCGCCUCCUCUGAGACUAUCACAGCCACCAGGCCCAGGGAUCCCUCCCAGGCACAGUCCCCAUUUAUAAGUUGACACUAAAAAGUUUCACAGCACUUCAUUUCCACUCUUAACCCCCAGGAGCCUCCGCGUCCCACAUACAGACACCUUGGUUUCCUCCCUCCUUGUUUUUUUCUUUGCAGUGCUAGGGUUGAACCCAGGGCUUCAUACAUGCCGGGCAAACCCUCUACCACUGAGCCAUAUCCCCUACCCUCCUUUAUUUUUAUUUUGAGACAGGGUCUCACUAAGUGGCCCAAGCUGGCCUCGAACUUUCAAUCCUCCCGCUGCAACCUCCCAAGCUGCUGAGAUUACAGGCGUGCACUAUCACUUCCAGUGGCUGUGCUUCUUUCAAAGAGUGAACUUCUCCAGCUGAUUUCACCAGUUCCCUUGACACGGAUAAUUGAGUUAUUUCGAGUCCCUUGCAACCACAAUGCUUCUCGGAUCAUCCAGGCACCUGGAUCUCUGUUCUCAUGUGUAGCAGGUAUUCCUAGGAGUGGAACUGCUGGCAUUACCAUGUUGGUGUUUGUGCUGGGGUUUGAACCCAGGGCCUUGUGCUUGCUAAGCAGCUACUCUGCCACUGAGCUCCACCCAGCCCCAGCAGAGGAACAUUUUAAAUUUUAGUUAGGAACAACCACACCUUUGAACAUUGAAUGAAAAAUAAGAACUGCGCCUAUGUGAUUAUUUUGCAUUCAAUGUCUGGAUGGAGGCUCACAGACUCCACAUUAAGAAGUCUUAGAAGGGCCAGGAGUGGUAGUGCACGCCUGUAAUCCCAGGGGUUAGGGAGACUGAGGCAGAAAGAUUGCAAGUUCAAAGCCACUUAGGGAGGCCCUAAGCAAGUUAGCAAGACCCUGUCUCAAAAUUAAAAAUAAAAAGGGCUGGGGAUGUGGCUCAGUGCUUAAGCACCCCUGUGUCCAAUCCCUGGUACCCCCAUAUCCCCCCGCAAAAAAAGUCUUGGAAACGAGAACUAGAACUUGUACAGGAAAAUUGUGUCCAGCCUCUGCUCCUGCGAGGGCGUUUGACUCGGUCCCUCCACAGGAAGCCAGCCUGUUCUGCUGUCACCGCUGGAGGAGAUGCAGUUCCGUGCUGAUUCCAGAAGUCAGAUUCUUUGUCACGCUCCACUGCCAGGGCACAUACCUCUCAUAGAUGGCCUCGGGCUCCCAGGACGUGGCUGUCGCUGUCCGGCAGAAGUGCCAGGCCAGGGUUGCUCCUCCUCAGGGCGCUGGGGUGUGGGGUCCUGGGGCCCUGGUGGCCCCUGCGCAGCUGCCAUCUCGGGACUAUGAAACCGGACCCUGCUCAGGGAAGGCUCUGGGGCUCACACGCUCGUCAGCCGUUAAUAUUUCAGCAGCCACCAAGGACUCAGGUUAACAGACGCCACUUCAGGAAAGCACCGGGCCAAACACGGACCCCGUCAUCUUCCUCUUGGGGUCCACGUGAGACUGCAGGAUUCCACCAGGGAAGGCUAACUGGACAUGCAGCCCGCGGCGGUCAGCCUGGGGCCAGCAGGCUCAGGUGUGACCUCGGUGCCCUUGGGAGCCAGGAGCUUCCCUUGGCCAUGGGCCACAUCCUAGUGACCAGCUGGCUCUGUGUCCACCAUGAAGACGUCGCAAGGGCUCUGGCUGACCAUCCGCUGGGCCGUUCACCUGAUGGUGCCUCACUCAGCACAGUUUCCGCAAAUCUGGAGCCAAACAGCGGCCCCAGCCUGGCACGGUGGAGACACUGGGCACCUGUGACCCUUCCCACUUCCUUCCCCUCUAAGUUCCUGGAGCUCAAACUCUCUCGGUGCCUCACACUGCCCGUGUGACACGUCACAGAGGUCUUCAAGACCACGGCCUCCCUGGUGGUGUGACCAUUUCCAGAAGCAGUGGUGUCAUCUGCCUGGGCUUCAGCAACCAUGAGGCACUGGGUGGAAACUCCCCUGGGCCCUUCCAGUGAGCAGAGACCAUGUCUAGAGAACAUUCUAGAAAACAUGUGUCUCUGACGCUCUGCAGAGGAAGGGACUGAGAACUCCCAUUUCUGGAAUUCCAUGUCAGUUCUAGAAGGUUCUACCUUGAAGACUGAAGCCAUUUUGCCAUGUGUGACUCAUACCAAGAAAAAAUAAAAAUAAAACCGAGCUUCGACUUCGAGGAUCACGACAUCCCAGAAGCCCCUGGAGCAUCUGGGAGGAGCGACCCCUUGUUUCACCCAACAACACCCGGAGACAAGUUCUGUGUGUGAAACCGUUUUCAGAUGAGGAAAUUGAGGUAUGGAAAGGCCAAACACUUGCCCAAGUUCCCCUGCCGGUGAGCAGCAGGCCCAGGACUUGCUACUCAAGGAGCCGCCCACUUUGGGAGGCUGAGCAGCCUCCCUGAGCAGCCUCCCCAAGGAACAAUGGAUAGAGAAGCAGCCCCACACUCCUCCUCCUGACGAGUGCCUGUCACACAGUGCUUCACCCAUGUCACCUGGUGUCACCUGCCCCCUGAGGUGGCUAGCAUGAUGAUGUCCCUCUCCCAGGCGAGGAAGCCAACCAGCAGCAACCUGCCCAGCGAGUCAGCCGCAGAGCAGGGACUGGCCUAGGGCUGUGCCAUCUUCAGAGCCCUCUCUGGGCAGCGCACGUGGCGGCCCGUGUGCAGACAGCCCUGAGAAAAUGGAGUGAGCCAGUCAGGCCCAGGAGGCGGCGUGGGCUGUGGGAGGGAGCAGGGGCCAAAGCUCGCCUCUGCCUUCACCAAGAUCUGCUCUUCAUGGUCUAGCGAGGUGGCACCUGGCAGGGCCCCUGGCGCUGGGCUGGGGUCUGAGCCUGGCUUCUGGCCCCAGCUCUGCCCUGACAGGUCCAGUCUCUCUGCAGGCCUGGGCAGAGCCCCGAGGACCCUCUGCCCUGAUUGUGAGGCAGGAGCAGGAAGCAGGGUGACAGCACCGACUGCUGCCCACAGUGUCCUUUCAGUAGGUGCCUGAGGAGCAGCCCACUCCCGGGAGGCACUCACCCCUCCCCAAACUAGCCCCUCCACACACAGCACCCCCAGCCCCCGCAGAGGGCAGGGACGGCGGUACCACUGCUGGAGUACCAGCUAGAUACCAGGAGUGACAGGCUGCCUCUGUGCUGGCCACUUGCCAUGGAUUCAAGCAGACACUGUCACUGUACCCAUUUUACACACGAGAAGACUGAAGCUCCGAAAGUCAACUUGCUCAAGGUCACCACCGACCAAACACAAGGCCAGCUGACCCCAGUGGGCACAGUGCCUUGGGCCCACAGCACUUUGAGGGGCCCAGGAAAAUGUUUAACUUCACUCAAAUCAAAAGAGGAAAAAAUGAACUUUUAAAGUAAAGACAAUGCUUUCAGAUAUAACACUAAUAUAUUCACCUUUAUACCAAUACAGCAGCAAAAUAUAGUUAACAUUUUUUUUUUCUCUUUUAGUAAGGAAAGGGAUUGACAAAGGCCAAAGUGCCCGGGGUUUGUGGAAGUCACCACAUACUCACAGGCAGAACUUGAACUCAGAGCUGUUCCCUUCAAAGGUCCUGUCUGUCAAAGAAUCCUCCAGUGUCCUCCCAGCCUCUAAGGGGGACAAGCUGGGGGAGCUGAAGGGUCUACCCGUGUCCCUGGGAGCGUCACAGCCAGACACCCAGCUGGCCACAAUCCCAAGUGGGCAAGCUGGCCGGGCUCGAUUCCUGGCCUUCCAAGAAGCUGCUGGAGCAGAGAGACAUUUCAGGAGACUCCUUCAGGGAGAGAAGGCAGAGAACAAAGAGAGCCGGGGUAGGUGCUCACUCCUAAGCCGGAACACAUAGACAAGAAUGAUAAAGAUUAUCUGGAAGAACAUUCCAACUUUUCUUCUUCACUUGAAAGAAAACAGGAGGCAGCCUCCACCAUGGGAAUUCUGCCUAUGAAAGUCCAGGAAUAGCCCAAGGAGACAAAGAGUGCUGGCUUUGAGGAUACCCAGACCUGGGUUGAGUCCAUACUCGGCUAUUUAGUUUGCUAUGUGGCCUUGAAAAAGUUGCUUGACCUUUCUGAUUCCAUUUUCCCUUUUGUAACAUGGGAAUAAUAGCAACCCCAACCCCCAUAGGGGGUUGUAGUGAGAAUUGGCUGAAAUUUAAAAAUUUCUAUAUAGUAAAGCCCUUGCAAGGACUAAAAAAAAAACCAAAAGAAUAUUCACUUAUUUCUUGGGGAAAGAAAAAAAAAAAAACCUGAUUUGGACAACCCUAGGGCCUUGAGCAAUUAUGCCGUGGCCUUGCCUAAGACAUUGAUAAAUCUGUGCAGUAACCAGGGUCACACCGAGGGGUCGACCUCUUUCUCCCUCCAGGUCUUUGAGGGGAGUUUAGAGACGAGGUAGUGAUCUUGCUAAUAAAAGAGGUGACUUGCCUCCAAUUAAGGCGUCACCAGAGUCAGAAAUGCAUCAGCUGGGUGACUUGGUGAUUCAUGCCACUCUUGCGCCUUCCAAGUCCAGGAUUGCUCAACCCACGGCAGAAACCGUGAAAUGAGAGCAAAGGCCUGAGUAACAACCAGGUGAGGGUCCCGCACAGGUGAGCAGCCAUCGGUCUAGCAGGAGGGCCUGUCCCCCGGGAGGCUCAGGGCUAGAGUUAGAAUCACGCCAGGAGGAGGAACCCCCAGAGCUCUUGGCUAGACAGCCUCCCCCCGAGAACUGCACCUCCCUCCUGCAACCCGGGUCCCACAGCAGCACAUUUCAAACUGCGCGUGCGCAGGCACAGCCUGGGAUGCCAGUAACACUUGGCUUCAGACUGAGCGGGUCUGGGAUUCUCCUUCCCUUUCCUCCCCUCCUGCCCGUCCCCUCCCUUCCCCUCUGCCCCCUUUUCAUCUCCUUUCCUAGGGCCUUGCCAAGUUGCUGAGGCUGGCUUUGAACUUGUGAUUCUCCUGCCUGAGAAUCCCGAGCUGCUGGGAUUACAGGCGUGCCCCAGAAUUCGUCUGGGCUGAAUUCUGCAUUUCUGACACACUCUGGGCUGGUGCUUCAGAGCAUUAAGGACCCUGACUCUCCUCCUGGCCCCGUGACCUCUUGGGCUGUCCUCCACCAGGAACAUGGCUCAGCUUUACUCAGAAACAUGGGAUCCGAGGACCCAACUGCACUGCUAAAAACUGGAUCCCUUGGGAUCUCUGUUAUUUGUGGGGAUGCAGGGAUAAAAAAUGGAUUCAACAGCAUGGCUGGCACAUACUGUGAUCUCCAUUACUUGGGGGGCCGAGGUAGAAGGAUGGCAAGUUCAAGCCCAGUCUGGGCAACUUAGCAAACCCCUUGUCGCAAGAUAAAAAUGAAAAGGGCUGGGGACCUAGCUGAGUGGCAGAGCAACUGCCUAGCACACGCGAGGUCCUGGAUUUCAUCUCCAGUGUGUGUAUGUACCCACGCAUGUAGCAGGAUAAUUUAUUGAAAAGUUAAAUUUCUUUUCAUCUCAACAUACCUGCUCUACAUACUCUGUUCAGGCAAGUAGCAAGACCCCUUGAUGUCUGCCCUCAACCCCGGUGCUGGGGACUGGAUCCAGGGGUGCUCUUACCACUGAGUUACAUCCCCAGCCUUUUUAUUUUUUUGACACAGGAUCUCACAAAAUUUCCAAAGCUAGCCUUAAACUUGUGAUCCUUCUGCGCUGCUGGAAUGACAGGCGUGCACCACCGUGCGUGGCCUCUGGAUGCCUUCUUGCCCAAGGCUCUCUAAAUUACAACUAAGUACAGAAAUCAGACAAUUCCUUUUAAAAACAGAAGGCUCCAGAUAAAGCUGGGCCCUCUCCCAACACCCCUGCUCCUAGUUGCUAAGGUUUUUUUUUUUUUUUUUUUUUUUUUAAUUUUGCAGGGCUGGGAAUUAGACCCAGGGCCUUGUGCGUGGCAGGCAAGCACUUUACCACUGAGCCACACCCGGCCCCAGAAAGCUGUUUUAAAAGAGGGAUUUCUGCAGAAUCAUCUUGGACUGGGUCUUCCUUUUACAAAAAUAUAAGCCCAGGGGCCCAGGAAGGCAGAAGGAAAGGGGCUCCCAUUUUCCAUCCUGUUGCAGGGCAUGACUGGGGUAUGGGGGAGCAGUAAGGAUAUAAAGGGGGCCUUCCUUCAGCCUCCCCAUCAACGCCACCAGGUCCUGAUUAGAACAGAGCAUGGCCACGGCAUGCUGGAGAGGCAGACCCCAGCUCUCUAGGGGACGUUCCCACCCCCAGGGGCAGCCCUUCACUGGGGAGCAGGGGUAUGUAUCCCACUGGACCAACCCAAAGGCUAAAACCAAGGAGGGGCUUCCAGGCAGUACCUGGGCUUCGGCCCCAAGCAUGCCCCACCUGGCAGGGGCCCCCAGAAGUUGGGUCACCUGUGGUGUCAGCAUCAGGGACAUGACAUGGACAUGGAAAGGCAGAGCCCGUGCCCCUGAUUCUGAAUGAGUUCUCCGUCCUGGUGUUACCUGGGAAGGGAAGGGCCUUCAAAUGACUGAAAAGGAACUUAGGGCCACACCUCCCCAGGGGAAUUUGGGGUGAGCCCCAGGAAGAAUCAGCUGCAAAUUCUAAAGUGCUCUUAUAUCUACUGUGUCAGUCAUGGCUUCUGCAGAAUCGGUGUGCGGGUGUGUCAGCAGGGCACACCCGUUCUGAAUGGAACCCAAAGGUAUCCACUAACGCUAUUCCAUAUUAGAAAUGCAUUCACUUUUUUCUUCUUUUUUUGGUAUCAGAGAUUGAACCCAGGGGUGCUUAACCACAGAGCCACAUCCCCAGCCCUUUUUAUUACUUUGAGGCAGGGCCUCGCUAAGUUGCUUAGGGUCUCACUAAGUUGCUGAGGCUGGCUUUGAACUUGAAUCCUCCUGCCUCAGCUUCCUGAGUCUCUGGGGUUACAGGCAUCUGCCAUUGCGCCUGGCAUAUACCAUUUUAUUUUUAAAGUAAUACACAUACUAUAGUUUUGGAACACGUUAUCAACCUGUUUCAUCCAAAAAAAAAAAUUGCUAAAGGUCACCAUCUGUGGAAACAUCCUGUGCUGCUUCCUUGAGGAGCCACCCUUGAUCUUAACUGUUCUAGGGUUAGGGACCACGAGUUUGUCCCUAAGCAGGCUGUGCUCCCUGGCUUUUUUUUUAAACAUUAAGAAAAAAAUUAUUGCAAAGGUUAUAUACAUUCUAGAGUUCAUUCAUUAUUCAGUAGAAUAUGCACUUUGAUCCUUUUUUUUUCAAGUGAUAAAAUUCAGAACUGUCUCAGAUAAAAAUACCUUUGGGUUCCAUUCAGAACGGGUGUGCCCUGCUGGUCUCACCACCGCGCUCAGAUUCUGCAGAAGCCGUGACGGAUGAGCAAGGCUCCCGCCUCUGCUGUGACUGCCACCCAAGUCCUUCCCCACAGGGGCGGAUCUGGGAAACCAUGGGAGAUACCUGGAUGUGAUUGUAAAAUUCAGGAGGAAAAAAAAAAAGCAAUAAAAAACUUCACGCACUUUCCUCUUUGCCAAGGUUGGCUGACUCCCCAGAGGCCCCUCCGCCCAGUGAGUAAGAAUGAGAAGGAUUUCUUCUUUGUUCUAGGGAUAGUCAUAAGAGAUGCUGCUUCUUCCCCGAAGGGGUUUCAAGGAUAUUUUAGGAGUUGUGAUAGGUGAUGUCAUUAAAAAAAAAAAAGCAGUUUUUUUUGUUGUUGUUGUUUGUUUUCUAGUGCUGGGGAUUGAACCCAGGACCUGAGAAUGCUAAGUAUAUAUGUAUACACACUACCAUCUAAGCUAUGCCCCCACCCCACUUUUUAUUUAAGACAGUUUAGGGUUGGGGUGCCUGGGUUCGACUCCCAGCAUGACAAAGAAGUAAAUAAAAAACACCAAAAUCAAAUCAGCCCAUUUAUCAACAAGGAGAAAAAAAAUGAAUGUGUAUUUAUAGUCUCCCAGCCUGCUCUGAAAUUCAAAGCUGGAAAGCGUUUCAAAAAGCAGCAUAGACACGAGUAUGGAAAGUGAAAACACACGCGCCAGCACCGUCUAUGGUGGUUCAUUCAAUCUCCAUAACAACCUGCGGGGAAACUCUACUCAUUAGCCUUGUUUCUAGAACCUGAAGAGCUGAGUGGUUUUCCAGAGUUUGGGGCCUAACAAAACUCCAGGUCUCCAGGCCCUUGCUCCUGACUCAGGAUGUGCUGACUCCCUGGGGAACAGCCACUGUCCUGAACCUGACGUGCAGAUCACUCUCUUGGGGGGCAACUCAAAGGCUGGUGCCGUUUUCUGGCUGAUCUUCGUCAGAGCCCAUGGUAGAGCUAACAGCAGGAUUCUUCUCUUGAUAAAGAGAAACCCUCGGCCAGGCACAGUGGCACACUCUUGUAAUCCCAGCAGCUUGGGAGGCUGAAGCAGGAGGAUUGGGAGUUCAAAGCCAGCCUCAGC
rnacentral:lncRNA from 1 species